CAGGGCCGACCAUCCAUGAGGCUGAAGACUUGUGGUGCUGGGACUGGCACCAGGACAGCAGGCUCCUGGGCUACAGGAACACAGCCAAGGUGGGGGAGGUAAGGACACUCUGCCAGGGCAUGAGACAGCUCAGGGAGUGGGGGUGGCUGGGUCCCCUGCAGUGGCUGCCUCCUGGGGCCACUAGACGGAGAUACCGUUCUAGCCCCGUGAUUUGGAGCCUGGUUCUGGGCAAUCUGCUAAUGCCUCAUGUCCUGUUGGUUUGAGGUCUUCAGAAAGUUCUUCUCGGAGGGGCAGAGAAGAGCCUUCCUCCGGACGGCACUGCUGGCCAUCCGCAACCCCCUACUGCGUGUCUGCCAGGCUGGGCUGCUCCUCACCUACUCCCUCCUGGGGGAAGCCCAGCAGUUGGUGGGGGACAAGCAGGAGGACGUCACGGCCAAUGUGAUGCGCCAGCUCCGCAUCAUCUGGCACUUGCGCCAGGGGCCUGAGGCACUGCAGGGACUGUGCCUCUGAGGCCACCAGCAACUCCCGCUCCCUGCUGCAGCUGUCUUCCAGGCCCUGGGAUCUGGCACAGCCUCCCAGAUGGGCACAUCCUGCAGCUGAGCCACCUCAGGGAGCAGUGGGGACAGGUCACCUCGUCCCAUCAAAGCAAGCCAUGCUGGCUCCCAAAGAGGCUGAGAUUGAAGACCCCGCUCCCUCCUGGAGCUCUGUCCCAACCUCUCACACAGAUAUAUCCUGCAGCCAGCCCAGCUCAGGGAGCAGUGGGGACAGUGAUUUCAUCCUAUCAAACCAAGCAACAUGGGUCUCAUUGAGGCUUAGAUGGAAGAUCCCAUG